rnacentral:rRNA from 1 species
CCUACGGGGGCAGCAGUGGGGAAUAUUGGACAAUGGGCGAAAGCCUGAUCCAGCCAUGCCGCGUGUGUGAAGAAGGCCUUCGGGUUGUAAAGCACUUUCAGUGGGGAAGAAAGCCUUGGGGCUAAUACCCUCGAGGAAGGACAUCACCCACAGAAGAAGCACCGGCUAACUCCGUGCCAGCAGCCGCGGUAAUACGGAGGGUGCGAGCGUUAAUCGGAAUUACUGGGCGUAAAGCGCGCGUAGGCGGUCUGAUAAGUCGGUUGUGAAAGCCCCGGGCUCAACCUGGGAACGGCAUCCGGAACUGUCAGGCUAGAGUGCAGGAGAGGAAGGUAGAAUUCCCGGUGUAGCGGUGAAAUGCGUAGAGAUCGGGAGGAAUACCAGUGGCGAAGGCGGCCUUCUGGACUGACACUGACGCUGAGGUGCGAAAGCGUGGGUAGCAAACAGGAUUAGAUACCCUAGUAGUC